ACCGUGUUCCAACGCUGGCUCUGCCGACCAUGGCGGCGGUUCGCCUCGGCCUGACUGUUUUUGGCCAAUUUUGGCCUGUUUUGGCCUGUUUUACAUGUAUCCCUGCAGAAAAACACGUUAGGGGUCUCGGUUGGUCAAAAAAUUAAAAAAAAAAAAAACAAACUUACCGGCAGGGGGUCUCCUGGUGCGGUGGCUCUGCCAGUCGUCCUUCACAACUGGGGUUCCUUCUUCGGCUAACUUGCAUAAAAAAGGACGAUGAACACAAUGAUCGAAAAAUCGUAUGAAAUGAAAAGCAGGAAGGGGCUCAUCAGAGAGAUUUUUAAGUU
rnacentral:lncRNA from 1 species